AUUGAACGCUGGCGGCAGGCCUAACACAUGCAAGUCGAGCGGGGUUUUCGGACCUAGCGGCGGACGGGUGAGUAAUGCGUAGGAAGCUGCCCGAUAGAGGGGGAUACCAGUUGGAAACGACUGUUAAUACCGCAUAAUGUCUACGGACCAAAGUGUGGGACCUUCGGGCAACAUGCUAUCGGAUGCGCCUACGUGGGAUUAGCUAGUUGGUGAGGUAAUGGAUCACCAAGGCGACGAUCUCUAGCUGGUUUGAGAGGAUGAUCAGCCACACUGGAACUGAGACACGGUCCAGACUCCGACGGGAGGCAGCAGUGGGGAAUAUUGGACAAUGGGCGCAAGCCUGAUCCAGCCAUGCCGCGUGUGUGAAGAAGGCCUUCGGGUUGUAAAGCACUUUCAGCGAGGAGGAAGGGGUGUGUGUUAAUAGUACACACCUUUGACGUUACUCGCAGAAGAAGCACCGGCUAACUCUGUGCCAGCCGCCGCGGUAAAAC
rnacentral:rRNA from 1 species